rnacentral:rRNA from 1 species
CCUACGGGUGGCAGCAGUCGGGAAUAUUGCGCAAUGGAGGAAACUCUGACGCAGUGACGCCGCGUAUAGGAAGAAGGUUUUCGGAUUGUAAACUAUUGUCGUUAGGGAAGAUAAAAGACUGUACCUAAGGAGGAAGCCCCGGCUAACUAUGUGCCAGCAGCCGCGGUAAUACAUAGGGGGCAAGCGUUGUCCGGAAUUACUGGGUGUAAAGGGAGCGUAGGCGGGAAAGCAAGUUGAAUGUUUAAGGUACGGGCUCAACCUGUACAAGCGUUCAAAACUGUUUUUCUUGAGUGGAGUAGAGGUAAGCGGAAUUCCUAGUGUAGCGGUGAAAUGCGUAAAUAUUAGGAGGAACACCAGUGGCGAAGGCGGCUUACUGGGCUUUAACUGACGCUGAGGCUCGAAAGCGUGGGUAGCAAACAGGAUUAGAUACCCGUGUAGUC